GCCGCUAAGGAGGCGAGGAAGGGAGCGCAGCUGCAGGACCCGCCGGCCGCACCCGCCGCAACGACCGCGACUCGCGCGGCGGCCAGCGGCGUCAGCGGCGGCCCCGGACGGUCAGGAGGCCCCGCCCCACGCCUCAGCUCCCGCCUCAAGCUCAGGGCCCGCUCCCGAGACCUCCAGCAGCGCCCCGCCCACCUCGGGCCCCGCCUCCACGUCUCCGGAGACCCCAGGGCGACCGGGCGCCGGGGCGCGCCGGAAGUACGUUAUCUCCCAGCACCGCCCCAGCCGUACUUUCUGUUUCCUGACACACCGCGCAGUGUGGCGCGCCGGGGUAUGUGCGCGGGCUAUCUGUAAUUACGGCAUCUCUGCCGGGAUUCCUGGUGUCCUCAUCAGGUACAGGCACGGACACGUUCUGACACGGACAAAGCUCCCCCACCCCGGUCUGGAAUAACCCUAACUGUCCUCUCCAGAAUCUAAAGAAGCUGAUGGAGAGCUCCGUUAGGCUGCGGGAUGCGUGGGAAGGACAGUAUGGGAAACAUUCAGGCCCCUGUUCAGUCUCGAGCUACUUGAUGGUUCCAGCACGGCAAAUAUGAACCGACUACCCCGAAUCACAGAACUUCACGUGUGGAAUAGGGAUGGUAGCCUGCUCUGGGUAAGGUGAUGAUGUACAGAAGCAGACUACACUAAUCCAGGCUUCAUAAAUGCUGCUCUCGUGACGACUGGCCCUGAAGGACCUUGUAGAUACAUCCUGCUUUGCAGGUGCCAACCCUGCAAAGGGAACGUGACUUGGUAGGUACAAAGCUAAGGUAACAAACAGGUAGGACUGUUGCACCAGUUUGGAGUACAAAUAUACUCAGAAUAUUUUUUUCCUGCUAGAUGGUUGAGCAUUCAAUGCCUCUUUGAAAGAAGAGGAAUGCCUUGAAACCCUGAAGACCUUAUGUCUUUCUCCUUAUCAGGGAGACCCAGAUGGACUUAACAGUGAAAUAAGUCCAGUCUGCCAGCCAUUGAUUUACAACUCGUGUUAUUACUGUGAAGAGUUAAUAAAAGGAAACCAGAAGGACGAGCUCUCAUGGCCUAUCACUUCCCAUCAUCUGUAGACCCAACAAGAAGAGACUCAGCUUGCAAGUCCAGGGUGCUUUAGCUACUGUAUUAUUCCAGCAGGAGGAAGAACCGUUCUCUCCCGAGCUCCACCAGCCCAACCAAGGAAAAGCAUUAUGCUUCAAACCCCUGGUUUACUCAAGAGGACUUUUUGUUUGUAACAGCCCUCCCAACUUCCUCUAUAAGAGAACCUUCCUCUCCUUGGUUCUUGGGACUUGUCUAUGGUUUUGACACAGCUUGAUUUCUUGCCCUGGAUUGCAGUUAUCUGAUAUUUCUGAAUAAGCCCAUUUUUGCUGGUUAAAUAAGUGGCAGUUUUAUUUUUAAAGUUAACAUUCCGAACAGUUCAUGCACAAUCCUUAAGAUUUUUGUGUGCUCUGAUGUAGUCUACACACUGGCUUAGGUCCCUCCCAGGCCUUGAGCUGGUGUAAUUUCGGUGUCUUAGUUCAGGUUCCCAUAACAAAAUACCACAGACUGGAUGGCUUAAACAACAGAAACUUAUUUCUUACAGUUCCAAUGGCUGGAAGUCUGUGGAAGUCUGAACUCAGGGUGCCAGUAAUCAGGUUCUGAUGAGAGCUUUUUUCCCUGGCUGACAGAUGGCCAUCUUACUGUGUCCUCACAAGGGCAAGCUCUGUUUUCUCUUAUAAGGGCACAAAUCCAUCAUGAGCACUUCUGCCUACAUGAUCUCAUCUAAACCUAACGACCUCUCAAAAGGCCCUAUCUCCAAAUACCAUCACAUUGGGUGUUGAGACUUCAACGUCUAAAUUUGGGGGGAGGAUACAAUUUAGUUCAUAGCCCUUGGUGUACAGAGCUAUAACUUAAUUUAUACUUACUGUUCAGACAUUGCCUCCCAAAGUACAUGGAUCUCCAAAAUUGGCUUUUCCUGAAAGAACGCUGUUCUUUUCUUGAUCUCAAGCAACCAACCCGGAUUGCCCCUUAAUGCAGAGACUGUACUGCUAUUGGCCUUGAUUGAAGACCCUUUAGUUCACAAUAGGAGACUGACUGGACUUUAGAAGUCAACAGCAUUGAAUUGAGAGUAGGAAAUUUCCCAACAAUAUCUCAAGCAGGUUGUCAUCUAACCUCUACUUAAAUAGAGCCAGAGAAGAGGUAAUGGUAAGCACACCCAAUUCACUUAUGGAUAGCUGUCAUUUUUUGGAAUUAUGUUCUUUUAUUGAGCUAAAGACUACUUGCCUCUUUCAGCUAUGCUUUGAUCCUGCUUCUGCCUUCUAUGUCUAUACAAAAAUGUCUAAUUGCAGUUGUUUACAAUGUCAAGAUAAACCUGCCAUCUUUCCUGAUUAUCCUCCAGAUGCAUACCAGUUUAUGAAAAUCCCACUUAAAAUGCAUUGUCAAAUAUAACACUGUAAAAAGCAUUUGAUGAUAAUACUGUGAGGUCUGAUCUCUUGAUCUGGAGACUCAUGAAAGUAAUUUUAAAGAGGUGAAUUGUACAAUUACAUUAUGUUGAGAGCUAUAACAUAGGAAUUAAAUAGACCCUUAUCCUUACCUCUUAAUUCUGCACUAAUCAAGAUCAAAGACUUGGGACUCCACAUAAUUUAACUCAACAUCUUAGACUCUAGGAAAGUAACGGUGCUCACUGAAAGGUAAGAGUGUUACCUUGUUUCAUCCAAGAGGGUUUAGAUAUCUCCAUUGUUUGAAUUCAUAUUAUUAAUGAAAAGAUGCUCCUCUGUUAAUAGGUAUGCAAGAGGAAGAGUGUUCCCCUGGUAGGAAAUAACUUUGUGUGUUAAAUAAUAACAAAAUUAAAAUGUUUUCUUUUUUUUUUUGCCAGUUUUAAUAUGCUAAUGGGUAUCAUGAUUUUCGAAAGAGAAAAUAUAGUAAGCAGUGUUUCUCAAACAUUUUUAUUCUUGAAACGCUGAUUAACAUCCUGUAGAUGUGUAGGACACAGUGUGGGAAGUGCUGCCUUUUUAUCUUUAUUGAUUUUAAAGAUAUACAUGAACAUGAAAUAUUAUAGAAAGAUAUGCAUACAAUACUGUAGCAUAGAAAGAUUGUAAAACAAUAAUGUUUGAUCUUUUUUAAAAACAUUAAUCAAAAAAAAGAAUGAAAGUAUUUAAUAUGACUGGCUCUAAAAUUAAGAAUAUUUUUCAUAUAAAUUUCUGAUUUGGGGCUAUGAAUAUGUAAUAGUAUACUUUUAUAAUCAGAAAAAGAAAACAAACCAAUUUCCCACUCUAAAAAAAUACAAUGAAUUAUACACUUUUUAUUAGUUUCCUAUUGUUACAUAGCAAAUUACCACAACCUUAGGGGCUUAAGUCAGCACCAAUGUAUUAUCUCAGUGUCUGUGGGGCAAGAAUCUGGCAGAUUUUAACUGGCUUUGCUGAGGGUCUCACAAGGCUGAAAUCAAGAUGUCAGCUGACAACAUGCUCAUCUGGAAGCUCAACUAAGUAAAGACCUGCUUCCAAGCUCUCUCAAGUUAUUGCUGGAAUUCAUUUCUUUGUGAUCUUAUGACUAAGGGCCCCAUAUUCUUGCUGGCUGUUAGCUACUCCUCUCAGCAUCUGGAGGCUGUUCUGUUACUUGCUAAGUGGUCCUUUCCACAACAGUUUGCUCCCUCCCGCUUCUCUCUGAGACUUCACCUUCCUUUAAAGAGCUCACUUGAGUAGACCAAGUCCACCCAGGAUUAUCUCCUUUUUGAUUAAACCAAAGUCAACUGAUUAGUAGCCUAAUCACAGAAGUGAUAUCCCAUUUUAUUCACUGGUCCUGCCUGCAGGCAAGUGGAGGGAUAAUGCAGGGUAUGCCCACUAGAGUAGAGCAAUCGUAAAGACCAUCUUAGAAUUCUGCCUAUCAUACCACACACUUCUUUAGAACAAGGAACUGCUCUCCCUUACCUUUGUAGUCUCAUGGCCUGGUUUAGUGCCCAGAACGUAGGAGAUGGUCAGUAAAUGCUUGUAGCAGAAAUUAAACCAGCUUAAUACUGUUCCAAACAGGGUGUAUUUAGGAAGGAAGGCCGCAUAGUAUAUCCUGGAAGUCUUUCCUACUUCAUUUUUCUGGACUCCUACAGUAUAUUGUGUUGCUAAUCCUGUUUUGGAAGGCGGAAAUGUUCAUGUACAAAUGGAACAAGUGACAACCCAAAGAAUUAUGAACAAGUACAUGCCUCUUGUUCUUACCUGAUAUGUCUAAGCCGAGUUUUAGAACUUCAGCUGGAAUUGUUAGUUGAGGCUCGUGUGGAUCAGAUAUUUAAUACUUGAAAACUCCUGUGGUUCUUCAACUGGAAACUCUUAAGAAACAGACAAAAGGUAGUGGUAGCAAUAGUAGUUGAAAGACCGACAUGAGCUGGGAUCUGCUUCACUGAUUAUUGCUUGUAUAACCUUGAAAAAGUGGUUUAAUGUCUGUAAUCCUCAUUCUCCCCAUUUACAAAUUUGGGAUGUUAAUACCCACCUUGUUGGGACUGUUGUGAUGAUUACAGAAAGUACAUUAUAUGAUUAUAUAUAUGUAGAGAUGACUGAGAUAAUUAGUUGAGAUUAUUAUGUAAAGCUCUCAAUUAUUUUCUCUUUCUAGAUAUCCUCUCUCCAGUGACUCUGAGAAGACAUCCACUGAAAUAUGCUGUGACGUUGGCGGGGUAUAUAGAACAAGAUGGCUCCACUUUAACUGGCUCUGUACAAUCUGUGGAUUAAGGUCUGGACUUGUCAGAGAAUAGCCGCAUGGCACCUGGAUGGUCAUCUUCCUGAUGCUCCCCGCCUGCCCCCCACUGCCAUUAAGUUACCCUGAAUAAAACUGUGUAAAUGGUA